GCUCAAGGCCUAAAUGUAAUUACACGUAUGUCUCUGAGGUGUAGAAGAGAUUUCUUUAAGCACUGCAAUGGUAACAGAGGCUGCCACUGAAAAGGAAGUUUUAGAUUGCCCUCACUGCCUUCCCCUCACACACCCUUUGGGACAGGCAACACUGACUACACUACUUCAGAAACAAGUCGUGUAGAGACCACAUGCCUGCAGGCUGGUGGAGAGCUCCUAAAACUACACUGGAUGGUCUACAACAAGAAAAUGCUCUGGCAAAUCACAGCAUGACAGUUCAGGCAAACGCGUCUGAUGCCAAGCGGUACUAUCUCACUUCUCUGAUGGUCACAUAUCUUUACCUACUGUGAAGUUCACACCACUUGCCAAUCCUAUGCACACACUGUGCCUACACGAAGAGUUUGCUGCCUUCAUUCAACCCUACAAGCAGGGUAGCCUGAACAGCACACCAGCAACCGGACUUCAGACUUGCUUCCAGCAGAAGGGAAAACAAUGAUGUGUUCCAGUGUAUACAGCAGGUCUGGUGGAGGCAACAACACGAAUCUGCAACCCAACAACCCCUCCAGCUCACAUCACUCCCCCUAACAACCUGCAGUUCCCCCCCCCCCAGCUCUCAUCAUCAUAGACAUCACCAUCAAAGACAGAGGCCAUGACAUUUUGGCAUGCUGAGCACAAUUUCCAGUGUGAUUUCUGUGAGGAGAGGUGGCACCUAUCAAUCCAAAUGACAAAACAUCCAAAAUUUUAAGCAUUGUUCUGACACCAAUCUAUUCUACAAGGUAUAAUGAAUAAAUGUUUCAGCUUUCUCCUGGUAAAACAGAAGUAAUUACCCCAUAAGAAGGGAAGUAGGAAGUACAUGCAGAUUAAUUGUUACUUGAUAGGUCUUGAGAAAACAAUGACUCUCUUCUAAGUAGAUACAUAAUUUUUCACACACUCAGAGGUCUUCUCAAUAUGCAGAAGGACCUAGAAGCAUCACUGCUUGUAGUACUUUCUUGUGGUGGCAAAAAAUACAUGCACAGCAACCAUGAAGGAGUUAAAGUGAGAUAAAUGUAGGUUACAUUGGAACUUUAACAAAUCGGGACCCAAAGAUACACCAGCCAGUGAGGGUUAGAGGCAUCUGAGGGUCAUGAGCCUCAAAGCUAAAUGAAGGUCUAAGCCCUGCUGUUACACGUUCUGAAGAUUUCCUAGAAAAAGUGUUUGGUUUUCUGCCUCUGUUUUUCAGCGCAUACUGCAAGAUGAUAAAUGCAUAUGCUACUCAGAUGAGCUACCUUCUUUGUUUUCCCUCUGGUACUAUUAAGGAUGUGCCAGUGGCUACGAAAUAAGAAAGUUACUUGACAAAUUUCAAGUAAAUUCAUGGUGAAAUAUUAAGCUUCAUUCAUCUUUUCUGUGGCCCUUAAGUAAAACAGGGUUCUGUAAAAAAUUUUUGGGAGGCAUAAUAAAGACGAUGCAAGCAGUAAUGC